rnacentral:lncRNA from 1 species
AAAUGGUGAAACGGAGCCACGUGGUGUGACCUGGAGGGAGCUGUGUUCUGGCUGGCAGGGGCAGCAGAGCUGAGCGCCUGGUGACCGUGUGUCCUCACCUCCCAGGGAAGCCCAGGUGGAAAUCUCAUGGACAAUAUAGAUCCCCCCAGCAAGGUAUUACUGUGACAUUUGUCACCUUUUUAUCAAGGCGUCCUGUUGCUAGCAUUUCAA